GAUGAACGCUGGCGGCGUGCCUAACACAUGCAAGUCGAACGGGCAUGCGCAUGAAACCUAGUGAUUGCGCAUGCGAGUGGCGGACGGGUGAGUAACGCGUGGACAACCUGCCGCAUGCAGGGGGAUACCGGCUGGAAACAGCCGCUAAUACCGCAUAUGCGCACGGCGCCGCAUGGCGCAGUGCGGAAAGGGAGCAAUCCCGGCAUGCGAUGGGUCCGCGUCCGAUUAGCUUGUUGGCGGGGCAGCGGCCCACCAAGGCGACGAUCGGUAGCCGGCCUGAGAGGGCGGACGGCCACAUUGGGACUGAGACACGGCCCAG
rnacentral:rRNA from 1 species